GAGCUUUGUGCUUUUGCCUGAAUCCGUUUGUCCUAAACCAUAUAUAAGAUGGAGAAAAGGAACACAAGCUGCUAAAGAUUGAUAAAAGCAUAUUUAUUUCGAUAAUGGCAUAUCCAUUCAGCGUUCAUAGCCUAGAAUUGUCUGUUAUACAUAUUUUGGUUUUAGCAUUCUAUUUCGUACGUAGUGUGACACAGCCAAGUAAGAGACGGAGCUUGACAAUUGCAACUGGAAUUGAAACUAUAAUCCACAAUGGCUUCUUCUUUACAUAAUCAUUAGCAACCUAUACGCUGUCAGUUUAGAGAAACCCACACAUCAAUAGGAUUGGAGAUAAUGAUUUAAUUGGUUUAUAGCCUGUACAGCCAUCUAUUGCUAGAGCUGGG
rnacentral:misc_RNA from 1 species